GGGUUUGGAACAUGGCCACUGCUUUUGUGGGCUUGAUGACGCCUCCGUGCUCGUUGGAGAGGCCCACCCAACCCUCCGGGAUGUCGAUGCGGCCGGAGAAUUUGUCGGCGAGCUCUUGGCGGCCGAGGAGUUUGAAGGGGAUUUGGAGGUUGCGGCAGUAGUCGAUGAGGGCGCGCAUGGCGGGCUCGUUGUGAUGGGCCAUGUCCAUGUGAUGGGCCUUGAAGUAGAUCUGGUAGCCGACUUGGGCCUGCGCCUCUUGCCAGAGGCGGUAAGAGUCCAUGACUAAAGGGUAGUAGUAGUGGUGGGGAUAGGUGAGGCGGAUGGUGCGGGAUUCGCCGUGGGAGGAGCCACAGUGGUGGAGGAAGUCGAACUGUUCCAGGAGAAGGGUUUUAAGGCCGCGUUUGGUGGCGUGGUAGGCGGUGGAGCUGCCCAUGACGCCAGCUCCGAUGAUAAUCACGUCGAACUCUGAAUUGGACUCCAUAAGUCACACACACUCUCAGACACUUUCAC
rnacentral:lncRNA from 1 species